UACGAGUGCUCCAAGCGUUAUCCGGAAUCAUUGGGCGUAAAGGGUGUGUAGGUGGUUGUGUUAGUCUUCUGUUAAAUUCUUCGGCUUAACCGGGGGCAUGCAGGGGAAACGGCACAACUAGAGGAUGCGAGAGGUAUAUGGAACUCAUGGAGUAGGGGUGAAAUCCGUUGAUAUCAUGGGGAACACCGAAAGCGAAGGCAAUAUACUGGCGCACUCCUGACACUGAAACACGAAAGCGUAGGUAGCGAAUGGG
rnacentral:rRNA from 1 species